AGAAACUAACCAGGAUUCCCCUAGUAACGGCGAGUGAAGCGGGAAUAGCUCACCUUGUGAAUCUGUGCAAAAGUUAAGUUACUUUGCGCCGAGUUGUGCUUAUAAAUUCAUUUGAUAAUAAACCUAGCCUGAGUCCCUUGGAAUAGGGCAGCAUAGAGGGUGACACUCCCGUCUGGCAAGGUAUUAAAAGUGUAUUUGACGAGUCGAGUUGUUUGGGAUUGCAGCUCAAAGCGGGUGGUAAAUUCCAUCCAAAGCUAAAUAUUGGUGGGAGACCGAUAGCGAACAAGUACCGUGAGGGAAAGAUGCAAAGAACUUUGAAAAGAGAGUUAAAGAGUACCUGAAAUUGCUGAAAGGGAAGGGAAGGAAACCAGUGUCUUGUGGCGUCAUAUUUCCGUACUUACUUGUAAGUUUGGCACUGUGGCGUUGCUAGUGUCAGCACUUGCUGUACUCGGGUUAUAUGCUCAGUGAAUGGUUGAUUCGCUGAUGAGUGACCUGGGCGUGGCAACUGUUGACGAAAUGGUUUUCUUUCACCCGUCUUGAAACACGGACCAAGGAGUCUAACAUACGUGCGAGUAUAGGAGUGACAAACUUCCAUGCGCAAUGAAAGUAACAGUGGUAGGACAAUUUGGCACUAUCCGCCGGCCACAACUCUUCGGAGGAAAGGUCUGAGUGUGAGCAUGCAUGUUGGGACCCGAAAGGUGGUGAACUAUAACCGGAUAGGGUGAAGCC
rnacentral:rRNA from 1 species